UCUUGCUGUUAGUGACAGUGACAGUGAACAUUCAUCUCAAGCAUUAAGCAGAAGCACAGCAGUGAUUGAGACACAACUUCAAAAUGUUGAUGCUGGAGCAGUCAGUGAAGCACCAAGCAGCAGCACUGUAAUUCUUCAGACACCACCUCAAACGGUUGAACAGGUGAG